rnacentral:ncRNA from 1 species
AAAUAACUGCCACCGGGUAGUGAAUGUAAGCAUUCGUUUGUGCAUCGUUAGGUCUUUGAAGAUGCACUGCGGAUGCUUAUUUUUA